rnacentral:rRNA from 1 species
AUUGAACGCUGGCGGCAGGCCUAACACAUGCAAGUCGAGCGGAUGAAGGGAGCUUGCUCCUGGAUUCAGCGGCGGACGGGUGAGUAAUGCCUUGGAAUCUGCCUGGUAGUGGGGGAUAACGUCCGGAAACGGGCGCUAAUACCGCAUACGUCCUGAGGGAGAAAGUGGGGGAUCUUCGGACCUCACGCUAUCAGAUGAGCCUAGGUCGGAUUAGCUAGUUGGUGGGGUAAAGGCCUACCAAGGCGACGAUCCGUAACUGGUCUGAGAGGAUGAUCAGUCACACUGGAACUGAGACACGGUCCAGACUCCUACGGGAGGCAGCAGUGGGGAAUAUUGGACAAAGGGCGAAAGCCUGAUCCAGCCAUGCCGCGUGUGUGAAGAAGGUCUUCGGAUUGUAAAGCACUUUAAGUUGGGAGGAAGGGCAGUAAGUUAAUACCUUGCUGUUUUGACGUUACCAACAGAAUAAGCACCGGCUAACUUCGUG